rnacentral:snRNA from 1 species
AUCGCUUCUCGGCCUUUUGGCUAAGAUCAAGUGUAGAAUUUUUAUUUUAAUCAACACUACAUUUAUUGAUUACCUUGCAUUAGUUUAGCACUAAGUUUAUUACCAGAAUGAUACAU